rnacentral:rRNA from 1 species
UGCAAGUCGAGCGGACAGAUGGGAGCUUGCUCCCUGAUGUUAGCGGCGGACGGGUGAGUAACACGUGGGUAACCUGCCUGUAAGACUGGGAUAACUCCGGGAAACCGGGGCUAAUACCGGAUGCUUGUUUGAACCGCAUGGUUCAAACAUAAAAGGUGGCUUCGGCUACCACUUACAGAUGGACCCGCGGCGCAUUAGCUAGUUGGUGAGGUAACGGCUCACCAAGGCAACGAUGCGUAGCCGACCUGAGAGGGUGAUCGGCCACACUGGGACUGAGACACGGCCCAGACUCCUACGGGAGGCAGCAGUAGGGAAUCUUCCGCAAUGGACGAAAGUCUGACGGAGCAACGCCGCGUGAGUGAUGAAGGUUUUCGGAUCGUAAAGCUCUGUUGUUAGGGAAGAACAAGUACCGUUCAAAUAGGGCGGUACCUUGACGGUACCUAACCAGAAAGCCACGGCUAACUACGUGCCAGCAGCCGCGGUAAUACGUAGGUGGCAAGCGUUGUCCGGAAUUAUUGGGCGUAAAGGGCUCGCAGGCGGUUCCUUAAGUCUGAUGUGAAAGCCCCCGGCUCAACCGGGGAGGGUCAUUGGAAACUGGGGAACUUGAGUGCAGAAGAGGAGAGUGGAAUUCCACGUGUAGCGGUGAAAUGCGUAGAGAUGUGGAGGAACACCAGUGGCGAAGGCGACUCUCUGGUCUGUAACUGACGCUGAGGAGCGAAAGCGUGGGGAGCGAACAGGAUUAGAUACCCUGGUAGUCCACGCCGUAAACGAUGAGUGCUAAGUGUUAGGGGGUUUCCGCCCCUUAGUGCUGCAGCUAACGCAUUAAGCACUCCGCCUGGGGAGUACGGUCGCAAGACUGAAACUCAAAGGAAUUGAC